CAGAGCGUAGCCAAAUUAGAAUAGCGUCUCCCUUACACCGAGAAGACAUCCGUGCAAACCGGAUCGCACUGACACCCAAC
rnacentral:tRNA from 1 species